CCUACGGGAGGCUGCAGUGGGGAAUAUUGGACAAUGGGCGAAAGCCUGAUCCAGCCAUGCCGCGUGUGUGAAGAAGGCCUUCGGGUUGUAAAGCACUUUCAGUGGGGAAGAAAGCCUUGGGGCUAAUACCCUCGAGGAAGGACAUCACCCACAGAAGAAGCACCGGCUAACUCCGUGCCAGCAGCCGCGGUAAUACGGAGGGUGCGAGCGUUAAUCGGAAUUACUGGGCGUAAAGCGCGCGUAGGCGGUCUGAUAAGCCGGUUGUGAAAGCCCCGGGCUCAACCUGGGAACGGCAUCCGGAACUGUCAGGCUAGAGUGCAGGAGAGGAAGGUAGAAUUCCCGGUGUAGCGGUGAAAUGCGUAGAGAUCGGGAGGAAUACCAGUGGCGAAGGCGGGCUUCUGGACUGACACUGACGCUGAGGUGCGAAAGCGUGGGUAGCAAACAGGAUUAGAUACCCUAGUAGUC
rnacentral:rRNA from 1 species